UACGUAGGGAGCGAGCGUUGUUCGGAAUUAUUGGGCGUAAAGGGCGCGUAGGCGGUCUUGUAAGUCAGAUGUGAAAUCCCCCGGCUUAACCUGGGAACUGCGUCUGAUACUGGAGGGCUUGAGUGCGGGAGAGGGAAGUGGAAUUCCAGGUGUAGCGGUGAAAUGCGUAGAUAUCAGGAGGAACACCAAUGGCGAAGGCAGCUCGCUGGGACGUGACUGACGCUGAGACGCGAAAGCGUGGGGAGCGAACAGG
rnacentral:rRNA from 1 species